GGGGGGGGGGGGGGGGGGGCCGGGGAGAUGCGGGGCGGGCGGACGGAGGGGAGGGCGGUCCCAGGCCGUCAGCGGCGGACGGGUGAGUAACACGUGGGCAACCUGCCUGUAAGGCUGGGAUAACUCCGGGGAACCGGGGCUAAUACCGGAUAACUCUUUCCCUCACAUGAGGGAAAGCUGAAAGAUGGCAUCUCGCUAUCACUUACAGAUGGGCCCGCGGCGCAUUAGCUAUUGGGUGAGGUAACGUCUCACCAAGGCGACGAUGCGUAGCCGACCUGAGAGGGUGAUCGGCCACACUGGGACUGAGACACGGCCCAGACUCCUACGGGAGGCAGCAGUAGGGAAUCUUCCGCAAUGGACGAAAGUCUGACGGAGCAACGCCGCGUGAGUGAUGAAGGUUUUCGGAUCGUAAAACUCUGUUGUCAGGGAAGAACAAGUACCGGAGUAACUGCCGGUACCUUGACGGUACCUGACCAGAAAGCCACGGCUAACUACGUG
rnacentral:rRNA from 1 species